CACACAGCUACAAAAUGGGAGACCAUAUUUCUGGAACUGACUUGAAGAAAACAAGCAUUCUACUUCUACUCAAGGUCAUUAAAGCAGCAAGAUUAAAAAGCAAGCUGCCUGUAGGACAGAUGGAGAAGAGAGGAAAAUCCCCAAAGCCAGGUCUGGACUUCUCAGAGAUCAUUGCUGUUUCCUUCCAGAUGCCUCCCAGCUAUCUCGGAAUGAGAGAGAUAUGCUCUAAGACUUUGGAUGAGGAAAGGCCUCAGGACCUCCCCAUCUGGAAAUCAUGGUUUGUGAAUAUAGACCUCUGUUCUUUGCCUCUUUCCAUUUGUUCUCUCCUUCUUUUAGGUGGAUUAUUGGAGGCAGUUGCAAUCUUGUGAACUUUUAGCUACUAGAGAUCCAGGAGCCAUAUUUCAUGACAGAUUUUACAGCUAGACGUGAGUAGGAAAGUUCCAAGUGACUUAUUUGACCCAGCGUAGAUCUGAGGUAGCCAACAAAGAGUAAUAGAGAUUCAUUCAUCAGCUAUGCCAUAGUUGGAA
rnacentral:lncRNA from 1 species